GCGAGCGGCGGAUGGGUGAGUAACACGUGCGGAACCUGCCCCUAAGUCUGGGAUACCAUUUGGAAACAGGUGCUAAUACCGGAUAAUAAAGCAGAUCGCAUGAUCAGCUUUUGAAAGGCGGCGUAAGCUGUCGCUAAGGGAUGGCCCCGCGGUGCAUUAGCUAGUUGGUAAGGUAACGGCUUACCAAGGCGACGAUGCAUAGCCGAGUUGAGAGACUGAUCGGCCACAUUGGGACUGAGACACGGCCCAAACUCCUACGGGAGGCAGCAGUAGGGAAUCUUCCACAAUGGACGCAAGUCUGAUGGAGCAACGCCGCGUGAGUGAAGAAGGUUUUCGGAUCGUAAAGCUCUGUUGUUGGUGAAGAAGGAUAGAGGUAGUAACUGGCCUUUAUUUGACGGUAAUCAACCAGAAAGUCACGGCUAACUACGUGCCAGCAGCCGCGGUAAUACGUAGGUGGCAAGCGUUGUCCGGAUUUAUUGGGCGUAAAGCGAGCGCAGGCGGAAAAAUAAGUCUAAUGUGAAAGCCCUCGGCUUAACCGAGGAACUGCAUCGGAAACUGUUUUUCUUGAGUGCAGAAGAGGAGAGUGGAACUCCAUGUGUAGCGGUGGAAUGCGUAAAUAUAUGGAAGAACACCAGUGGCGAAGGCCGGCUCUCUGGUCUGCAACUGACGCUGAGGCUCGAAA
rnacentral:rRNA from 1 species